CUUUAAUGUUUGAUGUUCUAACGUGGGCCCCUAAUCGGGGUUGCGGACAGUGUCUGGUGGGUAGUUUGACUGGGGCGGUCUCCUCCUAAAGAGUAACGGAGGAGCACGAAGGUUGGCUAAUCCUGGUCGGACAUCAGGAGGUUAGUGCAAUGGCAUAAGCCAGCUUGACUGCGAGCGUGACGGCGCGAGCAGGUGCGAAAGCAGGUCAUAGUGAUCCGGUGGUUCUGAAUGGAAGGGCCAUCGCUCAACGGAUAAAAGGUACUCCGGGGAUAACAGGCUGAUACCGCCCAAGAGUUCAUAUCGACGGCGGUGUUUGGCACCUCGAUGUCGGCUCAUCACAUCCUGGGGCUGAAGUAGGUCCCAAGGGUAUGGCUGUUCGCCAUUUAAAGUGGUACGCGAGCUGGGUUUAGAACGUCGUGAGACAGUUCGGUCCCUAUCUGCCGUGGGCGCUGGAGAACUGAGGGGGGCUGCUCCUAGUACGAGAGGACCGGAGUGGACGCAUCACUGGUGUUCGGGUUGUCAUGCCAAUGGCACUGCCCGGUAGCUAAAUGCGGAAGAGAUAAGUGCUGAAAGCAUCUAAGCACGAAACUUGCCCCGAGAUGAGUUCUCCCUGAGACUUAGAGUCUCCUGAAGGAACGUUGAAGACGACGACGUUGAUAGGCCGGGUGUGUAAGCGCAGCGAUGCGUUGAGCUAACCGGUACUAAUGAACCGUGAGGCUUAACCUU
rnacentral:rRNA from 1 species